AGUGGACCCUCUGCCAGAGACAACUCUGCACAGCCAAAGAUCAGCCAUAUUACUUCCUCUCCUUUCAGAGGGUCAGGAGGCUCCUCAUGGAAAUCCAUGGGUCCAGCCCGCCUUUAAAUUUCCAGCAGGCCAUCUUCAUGGAAUGCUCUCCAAGCAAGGAAACAAGCUCAAGG